rnacentral:rRNA from 1 species
CCUACGGGUGGCAGCAGUGGGGAAUAUUGCACAAUGGGGGAAACCCUGAUGCAGCGACGCCGCGUGAGUGAAGAAGUAAUUCGUUACGUAAAGCUCUAUCAGCAGGGAAGAACAUGACGGUACCUGAGUAAGAAGCCCCGGCUACCUACGUGCCAGCAGCCGCGGUAAUACGUAGGGGGCAAGCGUUAUCCGGAUUUACUGGGUGUAACGGGAGCGUAGACGGUGCGCCAAGUCUGGCGUGAAAUGCCGCAGCUGAACUGCGGAACUGCUGUGGAGACUGGCGAACUAGAGUGCGGGAGGGGGAAGCGGAAUGCCUAGUGUAGCGGUGAAAGGCGGAGAUAGUAGGAGGAACACCGGUGGCGAAGGCGGCUUACUGGACCGUAACUGACGCUGAGGCUCGAAAGCGUGGGGAGCAAACAGGAUUAGAUACCCCUGUAGUC